rnacentral:rRNA from 1 species
GAUGAACGCUGGCGGCGUGCCUAAUACAUGCAAGUCGAGCGAACAGACGAGGAGCUUGCUCCUCUGACGUUAGCGGCGGACGGGUGAGUAACACGUGGAUAACCUACCUAUAAGACUGGGAUAACUUCGGGAAACCGGAGCUAAUACCGGAUAAUAUAUUGAACCGCAUGGUUCAAUAGUGAAAGACGGUUUUGCUGUCACUUAUAGAUGGAUCCGCGCCGCAUUAGCUAGUUGGUAAGGUAACGGCUUACCAAGGCAACGAUGCGUAGCCGACCUGAGAGGGUGGUCGGCCACACUGGAACUUAGACACGGUCCAGACUCCUACGGGAGGCAGCAGUAGGGAAUCUUCCGCAAUGGGCGAAAGCCUGACGGAGCAACGCCGCGUGAGUGAUGAAGGUCUUCGGAUCGUAAAACUCUGUUAUUAGUGAAGAACAAAUGUGUAAGUAACUAUGCACGUCUUGACGGUACCUAAUCAGAAAGCCCCGGCUAACUACGUG